rnacentral:lncRNA from 1 species
GAGCAAUCAUAAAUGGCAAUGCGCCAGAUUUAAAAAACGAGAGGAGCUUUUUCGUGAAAUUUUCUUCCAAAUACAGGGGUAAUUUAGAGAGACAGAGCUUAUGACCUAGAGAAGAUUCCUAUCCAUGUUGAGAACUCAAUCGUUGAUGAUGGUGUCCCAACUGAUUUCCUUUACAUCAAGGACAACUGUGAACUCAGUCAAUGAUGAUGGCAUCAUCCCAGUGGACUUGCUCUACAUCAAAGACAACUGUGGGACAUGGUCAACAAUGAAAGCAUCCUGACAGAUUUCCUCUACUUCAGAGGCAGCUUAGAUCUCGGGUCAACAAUGAUGGGGUCCCAAAGGAUUUCCUCUAUGCCAAAGACAACUGUGAACUUGGUCAACAAUGAUGAUGUCCCAACAGAUUUCUUCUAUGCAAUGAGAAACAUAGCUCAUGGCCUAGAGAAGAUUUCUAUCCCUGUUGAGAAUUCAGGCAUUGAUGAUGGCAUCCAAGUGGAUGUCCCCUACAUCAAAGACAACUGUGAACUUGGUCAAUGGUGUUGUCGUCCCAACGGAUUUCCACUACAUCAAAGACAACUAUGAACAUGGGUUAUCAAUGAUGGUGACCCAUUGGAUGUCCUGUACACUAAAGAAAGCUGAACUUGGUCAACGAUGGUGGUAUCCCAGUGAAUGUCCUCUACAUCAAAGACAAAUUUUGUGAACUUGGUUAAUGGUGUUGUCGUCCCAACGGUUUUCCUCUUCAUCAAAGACAACUAUGAACAUGGGUUAUCAAUGAUGGUGACCCAUUGGAUGUCCUGUACACCAAACACAACUGUGAACUCAGUCAACGAUGAUGGUAUCCCAACAGAUUUCCUAUAGAUAUGUCAAGGACGACUUUGAGUUAUCAAGACCGAUAAUUGGCAGGAGUGGUUAACACUGCAGAAUUAUCGAAACACUGAAGCAGAGUCGGCAGCCUCAAACCAUGCUAACACUGAAAGUUUGCCAUGUUCCUCAUAACGGAACCCAAGUACCAGGGGGCAAUGUCGCCCUGAGGCCUGGGGGUGAGCUAGAAGCGAUACAUCUGCCGCUGGAUCUUUUACACAUGACGUGACUGUACCCAAACAUAAGGAAACAAGAAACGGAGAAGGGAAAGGUCGAUUGUCAGAGCUCUACUGCUGUAUGCAAGGCUACCAGAUAGCAAGGAUGGCAUCAUUCUAGAGGCAACAGAUGUCUCGGGAUCAACAGGAGGUUGUGACAGAUGACAAAGAUUGCUUGGAAGGUACUCUCCUUGUGCUUGUUGAUGAUCCCUUCCAAGAGAACUUCUAGUAUCACGUUCAAGACCAGGAGGUUUGAGAUCAUGCCUUGCAGCUCCAGAUCAGCAAAGCCUGUCGCACACUACACAAUCUUUUUGCAACCCAAUUUUGGAAGAAAAAAAUUGUAAUAGCGUUCAAUCUUAACUUCACAACUUAUUUUAUUAACAAAUAUCAAAAUUUCAAUUUCGAUCAACUAUGAGCCUCCUUUGAAGGAGUGAAAUUGGAUUCAAUUGCAAAUUGUAGCGAUGUCAUACAAAUCUUACCAUCAGCUACACUUUAAACCAGUUUAGAUUUUACUCGGACGAUAUGGCUUGCAGUGAAACAAUAUUUUGUUUUUUCAUGUUCCUGGCAUUAUUCCAAAUUUCUUAUAAGAUUAUUUUACUUUUUUAUCUUCCAUAGUUAAUGCAAAUAUAUGAUGUUUUAAAAAAUUGGGUCGCUGAUGGAUUACAUACACGUAUGUAUUGUGCGGUGGGCUUAACAGAACAUCAGAGAUCAAGAUUGAAACCAUGAGACCACGGGGGUGUUUCACAAAGAUGUAAGUAUGACUUAGAGUCGCACUUAAAUGCCAAGUUGCGUGCGGUAUAAAAGGCAUGACUGCAUUGGUCAUCAGAUUAUGCAAAGAGGACGCGCACUACUGCGUAUUGAUUAAUAAGAUUGCGCAUUGCAUAUCUUGUACGCAUCUUAAGUGUGACUCCAAGUCAUACUUAAAUCUUUGUGAAACACCCCCAGCUUUCAUAAAGGACAAGUCCACUGCAACAAAA